rnacentral:miRNA from 1 species
CCUAUUAGAUUGGUGCAAAAGUAAUUGUGGUUUUUGCCAUUGAAAGUAAUGGCAAAGUAAUAAAGUAAUAAAAUCGACCAUUAGUACUUCAUUCCUCUGAGUGAAGUAUUGCACUCAA